UAACAAAUAUGUCAUUCAUAUAAAUUUAACUCAAAUUGACAAGUCUUUUUCUGCUUUUUAGAGAGAGAUUUUUGCUUUCUUAUUCUCUAAGAAUCUUCUUCUCCUUGCCAUGAGAUCGAUUGUCCCUUGUUCAUUCAGACAAGGAAUGAUCCUCAUUUUUCCUGAUCAGAGUGUGGUUCUAUUCUUUCACCAAAAAAUGAGCCAAUAGAUAUCGAUUUUUUAUUUUAUUUUUACUGGUCCAAAGAGAGGAGGAAGCUUGCAUGUCGCUUAGAUGGGUCCUUUGGAGUACUUGCAAAUUUGAUGCUCAUGAGAGGGUUUCAAAUCCUUAAAUCUGUCGACUCUUCUUACAAUUUUAAAGGAUGACCUCUGCUUUUAGAGAGUUUUUCUAUGGUUUUGGUGGAGUAACUCUGGGGCCUAUAAGCUACUCAUUUGUAGCCGACUCUUUUGAGUCCAUGACCAUUAAGGCUAAGAUUAUGCAGCUGAGAGUAAUGUCCUCACCCCCUCUCCUAAAUAUUUGGUUGUCAAGUUUAGUAAGUUUGAUUCUAGCUUUGAUUGAGUUUGUUUUUGAGCUUCAAUUUAGUGUUAAUGGACGAAUCACAACCCCUUUGGAUGCCUCCUUUUUUCUGCUCAAUCAUGCUACAGCUCCAUCUCGUUUCUCACGGGCAAUGCUCGAGCUUCUCUACACUAUCGUUGUGUUAGAUUUUCAUUUUUAAGGCUUUGGGUCUUGUUUUCAUUAGGCUUUUCUUGUGAAUGUUCUGAGCUUUGUUGUAUUGGCCUUGCUAACAGACCUAUGAAAUCCAACAACUUGAGAUCCCACAUCGGUGGAAAAGGGAAGAAGGAAUUUAUAUAAGAUAGUUUAAAGACUAAUAAAUAACAAGGUUGGUCAUUUUGAGCUGAGUUUAAAAAUAAAUUAUUUGGAUCAACAAAACUAAGGCUUUGCAGUUUGGAUCUAGUCUUGACUUAACAAUUGUAUUCAAAUGCUGGUGUGGGAGACAGUAAGGGAAAAUGAGAUCGAAGAACCAUCCGUUUUGGUUUCCGUUUUGACACCUUUCAUUCACUUGGUUUUCCCUUACAUUUGUCGGAUGUGUUGGUGGUUUUCUUUUGAUUUUUGCUUUCACGUUUCCAGAUCCAUAUGAGGGUUUUUUUUAGUUAUGAUUUAUGGGGUUGCAAUGUUACUUUUUUCUAUGGAGGUUUCUCAUUGGUGCAACGUCGGCAUUUCGAGACUGCGGUGGCCAUCGCUCCCGCAAGCGAGGUUAACGCCAUGAACUUUAUCGUCAGUCUUCUCAUUUUCUAUUUCAAAUAUGUUCGGAUUUGCUUUGUCAUGGACCUUUUCUGUUUUAUUGUUAUUUGCAUAUUGCUCUCUUUUGGU